UACGGAGGGUGCGAGCGUUGUCCGGAAUCAUUGGGCGUAAAGGGCGCGCAGGCGGCUGCUCAAGUCAGGCGUGAAAGGCCUGGGCUCAACCCGGGAAUUGCGCUUGAGACUGGGCUGGCUUGAGUGCGGGAGAGGAUGGUGGAAUUCCCAGUGUAGAGGUGAAAUUCGUAGAUAUUGGGAAGAACACCGGUGGCGAAGGCGGCCAUCUGGACCGCAACUGACGCUGAGGCGCGAAAGCGUGGGGAGCAAACAGG
rnacentral:rRNA from 1 species